UACAGAGGUCUCGAGCGUUAGGCGGAAUCACUGGGCUUAAAGCGUGUGUAGGCGGCGGGCUAAGUACCUUGUGAAAUCCCACGGCCUAACUGUGGAACUGCUGGGUAUACUGGUUCGCUUGAGCGGUCUAGGGGCGAGCGGAACAAAUGGUGGAGCGGUGAAAUGCGUAGAUAUCAUUUGGAACGCCAACGGUGAAAACAGCUCGCUGGGGACCUGCUGACGCUGAGACACGAAAGCCAGGGGAGCGAACGGG
rnacentral:rRNA from 1 species